rnacentral:rRNA from 1 species
UACGGGGGGGGCAAGCGUUGUUCGGAAUUACUGGGCGUAAAGGGCUCGUAGGCGGCCAACUAAGUCAGACGUGAAAUCCCUCAGCUUAACUGGGGAACUGCGUCUGAUACUGGAUGGCUAGAGUGUGGGAGAGGGAUGCGGAAUUCCAGGUGUAGCGGUGAAAUGCGUAGAUAUCAGGAGGAACACCGGUGGCGAAGGCGGUUCUCUGGGCAUGUCCUGACGCUGAGGAGCGAAAGUGUGGGGAGCGAACAGG